rnacentral:lncRNA from 1 species
AGGGCACCGCAGUGGAGCUGGAAUGUUAGAUGGGGGCCCCUGCGGUGGGCAGAAUAACGGCCACUGCAAAGAUGCCAAAUCUUAUCCCCAGAGCUUCCGCAGAGAUCCUGCAGAUGUGAUUCGAGUCUUCCAGCAACACCACCUCACUCUGCUUUGCACAAUCACUCCACCUCCCCACAUGUUGCGGAGAUUCUCCUGGGUCAGUCGGGGGGUCCAGUGUCAUCCUAGGGUCCUUAUGAGAGGGAGGAAGGGAGGCGGAGGAGGAGAUGCAAGGAUGAAGCGAAGGUUGGAGUGAUGUGGUCUGCUGCGGGGACCCUGAGGCGUGCAGGCGGCCUCUGGAAGCUGAAAAGACAGGAAGGCAGCUUCUCCCCUGAGCCUCCAGAAGAACCCGGCCCUGCUGACACUGGCCCAGGAGCCCCUUCCCCCAUCAGGGCCUGGAGAGGGAAGAAAUGACUGUUCACAGAUUUUACCCCGCAAGACCCAUUUCAGCAUUCUGAUUUUGAGAACCAUAAGACAGUGUGUGUUGUUUAAGCCUCCAAGUCUGUGGAUAUUCAUUACAGCAGCCUUGGGAAACUGACACCACCUCCCCCUAAUCCUCCCUCCCGCCCCCACCUACACCUGAACCCUCCCCUUGCUCUUCUCUGCCGAUUCACAGGGAUUCACACUCUUCCUACUUGCAGCUGUGACACGGGAAACAUCCUCCACCAGGUCUUCUCUCACAGUGUGGCCUCUGCGCACAGGUUAUCCACCUGUAGACCUGGACGGGACCCUCGAGGCUCCCUACUCUGACCAUCUGGUUUUAUAGUUGAGGAACCAGAAGCCGAGGCAGGUAACUUGGUGCAGCCUAAAGGCCUCCAUCCCUCCAGUGCCCACAACUUAGGUGCCCACGACAACAACACUGGCCUACCGCAAAGACCCAGCCCAGAGGAACAAGGUGCCACUGUAUGUCUGAAAAGGGGGCCCUCGGCCUCACUGGGGAGCACCUUCCUCCAUCAGGGUCUCGACGGUGAAGAAGCAGGCUGUUUCCAUCUUCAGGAUACAAGCCAUCUGCGCAUAGGAAGAGGGUCCAGAGGCUCAUCUGGAAUCCCUCCUCACUCACUGGACGGAGGACCUGACCCCGUUCCCAUCAUUGGUUCUGAAUCCAUCAGCCCAGCAAGACAGGUGUCUCCAGCAAGUUCUGUAAAAUACAACCAUAGCCGGGCCUGGAGUCAGCCCCCAAUAAAGGGUUCACCAUG